GCUCUUCCGGGCCCGUGGUGGACUGCCGGGGCCAAGUACGGCGGCCAGGGAGGAAGUCCGGUGUGAAUCCGGCGCGGUCCCGCCACUGUCACCGGGGUAGGUAGCCCCGGGAGCCAGGAACUCCCACCGCCGGUCUCGUCGAA
rnacentral:ncRNA from 1 species